UCCUCUGUUUUUUCUGCAGCUCAGUAAACGCUCUGCCACUGACCUGUGUGGCCGGAAUGAUGGAAACCUUAAGGUGAUAUUCCCUGAUGUAGAGAUGGAGGAUGUCACUAAUUCUGGGCUCAGAGUCAGAGCUCAGCCUGGGGACUACGUGCUGGUGAAGAUCACCUCUGCCAGCUCUCAGACACUUAAAGGACAUGUUCUCUGCAGGACCACUCUGAAGGACUCUUCAGCAUAUUGCUGACCCGAGCGAUGACCUCAGAGCUGACGUGGGCAGUCCUUCCCAACAGGAAGGACUGGUCACUAAUGAAAGAGGUAAUGAAGCUUUGAAGACAAACCACAAGUGGUGAAGCAACUUUAUGUCAAAUGGAAAAUGCAUCUCUUUGCUGCUACAUGAACAGGCUUUAUAAUCAUUAAAUUUAUCUAAACUGAA